rnacentral:misc_RNA from 1 species
AGAGGAACAACAAGGAGAAGAAAUCAUGAGUAAUGAGCCUUUAUUCCCCCUGUUGGAACAGCUGAACCUUUACAAUCUGCCAAAGCUGGGGCACUUCUUUCUAGCGAAGCGUGGUCUUGAAUUUCCAUUUCUCAGGGAUGUGUGCAUUCAUAACUGCUCUGAAAUGAAGGCGUUUGUCCAACAGGGAAUAUAUGUGAGUACACCGAGUCUCGAAAGUGUAAACAAUGAUGAUGAGGUGAAAGUGGUUGAUCUCAAUAAAGCGAUGUUCAAUUCUAAGGUUUCGUGUCCCAGACUGGAAAAGCUACAACUCUUUUGUGCUCAUAGUAUAACUGCUCUAUGCUCUCAUCAACUUCCAACAGGCUACUUUAGCAAACUUGAAGCGUUGCAUGUAUCGUUUUGUGGAAAUUUGAGAAACUUGAUGUCUUCAUCAGUGGCCAGGGGUGUUUUGAAUCUCCAAAUUCUACAUAUAGGAUAUUGCGAGUUGAUGGAAGAAGUGAUCACAAAAGAG